rnacentral:lncRNA from 1 species
AUUUAAACUAAAAACAAAAGGAAAACAAGACACAUUAGCUUGGUUUUUUAAAAAAGCAAUGUUCUUGUUUUAUCUUUCAGCCCCAGAACUUGCCAGUCAAGAUGAAAAACUUCUUCUAAUGGAAUCCAGCUUGAAAGCUACUCAAGAGCAGCUAACUGAGCAAAUAGCAGAAACAGUUCGCCAAGAACAGAACAGUAGAAAACCCCAGGCAGAGCUGAAGACAGUGACAGAAGGGAUUAUUGCUUCUGAAGAAGAAAAAAAAUGAUUACAAAAUCACCUAUUUUACCGUCUUUUACAACUUCGUUGUAGGAGGUGUGAAAGAGGAGGGAAAUUGUGUUGAGUGAAGAGAGGAAGAGUGUUGUAAUUUUCUGGACAUGGAGAAUCAUUUGCUAUGCUAAACUGGAUAAAUGCUUGGCCUACCUCAUGGGAGUAGGAUAGAAAAGAGUAGCUGGAUCUAUUCUGCUGAGACGCCAAGGUCUCCAUAUUCUUUCAAAAUCAAUGGCCUUAGAGGGAUCAUGAAUUGCUGAGGUAGAACAAUCCUUGCUCCUCUUUAUCUCUCAUCUACUGCCUUUGAAAUCAACUGGAGCUGCGUACUUGGGAAACUGGAGCUGCGUACUUGGAAGCAGCACAAACGGUUAGACUGGAAAUAAAAAUAUGGCCUAGGAUUUGUGAUGCUCAAGUGAUUCAGACUCAUUUCUCCAAUAGCUGUGGUUUUGAAAUAUACUAGACUUAUUGCUGAUAUAUUACAGUUCAUAGUGUUCUAAUUCAUUUUGCAGAAGUAAUCCUGCCCAACUCGACCAUUACUCUUUAAAGUAGAGCUUACAUUUUGGUUCCAUUUGAAAUCACUCAUUAUUAAGUUCAUAAUACCUGAUUUUAUCAAAUUAUGCAUAUACAAAAGGUGUCCAUGCCUAUUUUGUGGACAAGAACAAAGUAAGUGAAAACUCCCAUGAUAGGUAAUGCUCAUGUGUGAUAUAAAAUGCACCUCCAACUUGCUGAAGCUUUCUCUUCCUUCAUUGAUGCGGUUUCUGUAAUUCCACAUAUUCUUUCCUGAAUAAUUAAAAAUGAGGAUAAUAAGGUCCCUUAGCUUCUUUACUCAGCAUAUAACAAAGUACACUUAUUCUUUCAUAUGUAUAAAAUCGAUAUUUAAAAAAUCAUAUUCUUAGUCUUUAUUCAAUUUUGUGGAUGCACUGCACAUGUUAAACUUUUAUCUUUUAGAGAGAGCAUGGUUUGUAUUUACUUAAUUUGUUUCAUAUUAGUAUAUAUUAAUUUUGUUUUAUAUUCAUAGGCUAUUUAUCAUCAGUUAGGAGAAUUUUGUUCCUACCUUUUCAGAAAAACCCCUAAUAUAUGUUAUAUGCCUUGGGAAAAAUAUGUAAUAAAUCUAAAAAUAAUUACCACUUUGUAGUAUUUCACAGUGAAAUAUUGAUUAUUACUGAAAUUAUUAUGCUGAUAUUAAUCUUUUUCUUAAUGUGUAACAAUAUUUCCAC